UACGUAGGUGACCAGCGUUGUCCGGAUUUACUGGGCGUAAAGAGCGCGCAGGCGGUCGUUCAAGUCGAGUGUGAAAGCCCCCGGCUCAACUGGGGAGGGUCAUUCGAUACUGAUCGACUUGAAGGCAGGAGAGGGAAGCGGAAUUCCCGGUGUAGUGGUGAAAUGCGUGGAUAUCGGGAGGAACACCAGUGGCGAAGGCGGCUUCCUGGCCUGUUCUUGACGCUGAGGCGCGAAAGCUAGGGGAGCAAACGGG
rnacentral:rRNA from 1 species